GGGGGUGUAGCUCAGCUGGGAGAGCACCUGCUUUGCAAGCAGGCUGUCGCCGUUCGAUCCCGGCCACCUCCACCA
rnacentral:tRNA from 1 species